rnacentral:rRNA from 1 species
ACUGAUGUGUUUUGCGACCGAUAGCCUGCGAGUCGAGAGGGUUCGGCCCUCGGCGAACUGCUCAGUAACACGUGGAUAAUCUAACCUUAGGUGGAGCAUAACCUCGGGAAACUGAGAAUAAUACUCCAUAGAUCUUUGAGGCUGGAAUGCGCUUAGAUUGAAAGCUUCGGCGCCUAAGGAUGAGUCUGCGGACUAUCAGGUAGUAGUCAGGGUAAAGACCUGACUAGCCUACGACGGAUACGGGUUGUGAGAGCAAUAACCCGGAGAUGAUAUCUGAGACACGAUAUCAGGCCCUACGGGGCGCAGCAGGCGCGAAAACUUCGCACUGUGCGAAAGCACGACGAGGGAAUCCCAAGUGCCAGCACGUUAGUGUUGGCUGUUUCUCUGUCUAAAACACAUAGAGAGUAAGGGCUGGGUAAGACGGGUGCCAGCCGCCGCGGUAAUACCUGCAGCUCAAGUGGUGGCCGCUAUUAUUGGGCCUAAAACGUCCGUAGCCGGUUUAAUAAAUGCCUGGGUAAAUUGUACAGCUUAACUAUACGAAUUCCGGGUAGACUGAUAAACUUGAGACCGGGGGAAGUUAGAGGUACUCCUGGGGUAGAGGUGAAAUUCUGUAAUCCUAGGGGGACCACCGGUGGCGAAGGCGUCUGACUAAAACGGGUCUGACGGUGAGGGACGAAGCCCUGGGGCGCAAACGGGAUUAGAUACCCCGGUAGUCCAGGGUGUAAACGCUGCUUGCUUGAUGUUAGUCGGGCUUCGAGCCCGAUUAGUGUCGGAGAGAAGUUGUUAAGCAAGCUGCCUGGGAGUACGGCCGCAGACUGAAACUUAAGG